GACAGAGGUGCCAAGCGUUAGGCGGAAUCACUGGGCUUAAAGCGUGUGUAGGCGGAUGCCUAAGUACCUUGUGAAAUCCCACGGCUCAACCGUGGAACUGCUGGGUAUACUGGGUGUCUUGGGUCAGCUAGGGGUUGCCGGAACAAAUGGUGGAGCGGUGAAAUGCGUAGAUAUCAUUUGGAACGCCAAUGGUGAAAACAGGUAACUGGGAGUGUGCUGACGCUGAGACACGAAAGCCAGGGGAGCGAACGGG
rnacentral:rRNA from 1 species